GCUAGUCCUCGGAUCACUGCCCAACUAGCACCUAGCAUUUUUCAGAACCUUGGUUUUCUCAACCUCUCUCCGAGCUUGUGGCUCUCAUCACUGUUGGUGGAGUUCUUCAAUUUGAAGAAGGAACGAGGCUAAAGAAUUCAUUCACUGUUGUUCAUUGAUUGUCCACCUUAGUGUCUUUUGGAUGGCUAUGUAUGUUUCAAGGAGAAGACCUGCUAUUGCUUUGAAUUUGAAGGAUAUGGUUCAGAAUAGUUUAUGCCUGUGUAGUGGGACAGUAUUCCGGUGCUAAAAAUAGAAAGGUUCACCAGGUUGUUGAUCCAAGAAUUCAUGGAAAGGUGCUAACUUCCCGAAGAAAGAUAAGUUUGAAUCCUUAGCUCCUUCCCAAAGAAAGAACAAUUAGCUGGAAUUCUGCAGAAACUGCCCUGCAGCACAGCUCUCUUUGAUUGCUUUGACCCUUUCGUGUCGAUUUUACUGGGAGAGGAGAGCUUGCAGAUCUUCAUGUCAGUUCCACAUAUAUGUAUGGCAGUUGAGUAGUACUACGGAACUUUUCUUGUCCCUAUACAUAGAACUGGUCACUAUAUGAUCAUACUUAAACCUAGUAUUUUUGUGCCUUCAUCGAUCAUACUUCUAGUAUUAGGGAACUGAUGGGAUUGAUCACUAUAUGUAUUGAUGUAUUUUGGUGGAGACAAUGACAAAUAUG